GGGUGCGAUCAUACCAGCACUA
rnacentral:rRNA from 1 species